CGAGGAGCAGUGCCCCUUCCACCGCCCCCUCAUUGCCCCCCGGAGCCGGGGGUUCGGGGAGGCGGCUGCGCCGGGCUGGCUGCGUGAUGCUGCUUGGAGAAGUCCGUGUCUGGGGCCGCCCGGAGCCGAGCGGAGCUGGCAGGUUAAUGAGCAGGGUGGAGGAGGCACGGCGAGGCCCCGCACCCUCUCUGCGCCCGCGGCCAGGGCGCAGCGGGUGAGGCUUGGGAGCGGGAUGGCCUGGCUCCCUGGACCCCAGGGACCCUUCCCCACCCGCCCGGGCCACCGCCCCCCUGCCUGGGAGCAAAUUGACACAAGUCCCUCCGGCUAGGCGCUCCACCUGGUUGGAGCUAGAGCAAUGCCGGUCUCUAAGACCCGUCGGGCGGGCGGCGGAAAAAGUGAACUUGGGUCUCGGCCGCCCCCGCCGCCGCUGCCACAAUCCCAGCAAUUCGGAUCCCGAGCGCUCUCCCGUUCCAAGUUUGCCAACCGCCAUUCCUUCGCCCUCAGGGCUGCGCUGCCUUCGGCGCGCGGGGGCGGGCACCUCCGAAACUGGAAAGGCGGCCAAAGAGCUCGCUGGGUCCCGCUUUCCCAUCCGAGACACUGUCCCGUUUCCAGCCAAACUCCCGCCCCCGGCGCGCCCAAGCACCGGGCACGUCCUCGUCACCGCCUCCAGAUCUCCCGGCCCAGGGGCAGGGCCCGCAGAGCCUCUGGAGAACUCGGCUGGUUUCGCACUGCAUUUUAACUUUCUCCUUCUCCGGCAGCCCGAGGGUCCCCCUGUCGCGCCAGUCAACUCCGAGUCCCAGGGGCGAGGGGAACCGACGGGGUCAGGUCACAGCUGCGCUCCCCCUGCUUGGGCCCCCCUGCCUGUAAAACAGCCUCGCCAUCUCCUCGAAUGCGUCCUGGGAUAUGCCUCCAAGUCCGAAUUCUCAGCAGUUCUGCUGUGAGAGCCCGAUCAAUUGCCCGUCCGGCCCCCGCCCCCACCCCGGGCCUUCAGUCUUACUUUCAGAGCAGUUUGUAAUUUUGCGCAUCAAAAGUAACCCAUGCGUCAAUAUGUAAUUUAAAGAAAAAGGAAGAAAGGGAGGGAAGGAGGAAGGAAGAAAGGGAGGAAGAAAGGAAGGAAGAAACGGGAAGGAAGACUAGGUCUCUGGGCCUCGUGGGCGUCUAAGUGGGAGGUGACAGAGUCUCCUCCUGCGAUCAGUUCUCGCCCUGAGAUUGCCUCCUCCGCCCCGGACGCCGCCGAGCUUUGGGGAAACCGCACCAGGUGUGAACAAGUUAGAGCAAGUUCCAGCCUAGCUGGCCCCCUCCUGCUCCUUGGGGAAACACACACGCGCGCGCGCGCGCGCUUUCAUCCGCCCAGUUCUCCGCAGGGGGAAUCCAGGGGUGGCACUUCUCGGGAAUCGAACCCGAGAUACAUCCGGCUUUGUUCAAAAUGCACUCCCCCCCACCCCCCCAGAAAUGUGCAGGAAGGAGCCCAGUGCACUAGGCAGCUGUUAGUAGUAGACGCGGAUCCGCGCACGGGAGUUGGAGCACAGCAACCUCACUGGCUAUGUCCGGAGCUGGCGCACCGCAGUCUCACGGGCCCUUUGUCCCAGGAUGCUUUCAGGUUUUCGGGCUGCCAGGACGCUCCCGCGGGGAAUUUCAGCGGUGCUGAGAAUCCCGGCUAGUUACCUAUAAGGGGCUGCUCCCCAGCGGCCCUCACCGCGAACGCAGUGAGCCUACGGGCCGCGUUGGCUCGGGGCUGCGCUCCCGGCUUGGCCUGGGGACUUGGACCUACGUUCCAGUCCUGGAGCAGAGGAGAUCCCCAGGUCUCCCCACUUCUGCGAGCAGCGAGGGUCCCCCGCUCCCUCCUCCCCUGCUGGGCGAGCUGCUUUGAAUUGCUCGCAAUUUGCCGAAGGCGGUGUGCUGGGUUGGACGCUCCGGGAAACAAAGCAACCAAAAACAGCUCCCAGUUGACGUCAACCUAUUUCCAGAAAAGAAAAUAGUUUUGUACUCCUAGAACAAAAUCCCCCCCAGGGCAGGUCUCUACUGGCAAAAGCCUGGGGGCGGGGAUGGAGAACAGCAGAACCAAAAAAACCCACACGCAAAUAACUUUUUAACGGACUUGGAAAAACAGCAGCUUCAGAUGCUGCCUGGGUAUUUUGCAAACAACGGGCAGGACCCCCGCUAAUAUUAGAUAUGAAGAAAACGCACCUUGGAAAAGUACCCCUUGGCCUGAUUAUCUGGCGAUUUUGAGUCUGCUUCGUGGCACCAGCUCCUGAAACGUUACCAAAAUUCUUUGCCCAUAAUACCUCAUCAAAUAUUGGGAAAAAACCUCUUCAGGUUGGUGCCUACAGUAUUUACCGGAAGAAAACCCAGAAAAAUCAAGCAGUUAUAAACCUGUUUCCUCUCAAGCCCCCACCCACCAAUACCCCCCCCAUGUUGCUUAUUUUUU
rnacentral:lncRNA from 1 species